rnacentral:tRNA from 1 species
GCCCAGAUGGCGAAAUUGGUAGACGCGCUGGCUUCAGAAGCCAGUGGCCGCAAGGCUUUGGGAGUUCGAGUCUCCCUUUGGGCA